rnacentral:rRNA from 1 species
AGUGAACGCUGGCGGUAGGCCUAACACAUGCAAGUCGAACGGCAGCACAGUAAGAGCUUGCUCUUACGGGUGGCGAGUGGCGGACGGGUGAGGAAUACAUCGGAAUCUACUUUUUCGUGGGGGAUAACGUAGGGAAACUUACGCUAAUACCGCAUACGACCUACGGGUGAAAGCAGGGGAUCUUCGGACCUUGCGCGAUUGAAUGAGCCGAUGUCGGAUUAGCUAGUUGGCGGGGUAAAGGCCCACCAAGGCGACGAUCCGUAGCUGGUCUGAGAGGAUGAUCAGCCACACUGGAGCUGCGACACGGUCCAGACUCCUACGGGAGGCAGCAGUGGGGAAUAUUGGACAAUGGGCGCAAGCCUGAUCCAGCCAUACCGCGUGGGUGAAGAAGGCCUUCGGGUUGUAAAGCCCUUUUGUUGGGAAAGAAAAGCAGCAGGUUAAUACCCCGCUGUUCUGACGGUACCCAAAGAAUAAGCACCGGCUAACUUCGU